GAUUUACAUUUCUGGCCUCGUGGAUAAGGCAAGAGUGGAUAUCUGGGAGAGGCAGAGCUGCUAUAGGAUGUGAGGAGAGUGGGAUACAUGGAGCAUGCCCACGCAUCCCUGGAAAACGUCACUCUCUCUGGGAGCCAAAAGGAGCCAGAAACCAUGGACAUUUGUGUGGAGGGAAGUUGGCAGUUGAAACGCAUGGAAGCCUGGCUCUGGCAUGAGCAUUUCCAAGAGCUGCAUCUGGACCCCUAGUUAACUUCCUGACUAAUCUCCUGCCUCAGACAGGAUGCCAACCACGGAGAGCAAAGAUGGUGCCAGGGCAGCUACAGCCUCAGUCCCUACUGGAUCAGCGCCUGACUGAGGGAAGCAGGAAUUCAGAACUACAGUCUCCAAAGCCUCUGGCUACGCUUGUUAAAACCUGGACACAAAUAUUAAGGGAGAGCUGCUGUCCAAAACCUCCUAACUCAGAAAACUGCUGGUAAAUGCAGUGAGGAGCACCUGGAUGAGUC